CAAUUUAUAUUGUCUUAUAAUUUUCUACAUUCACGCUCAGUUAAUAAUUAAGCGUCUACAUAUUUAAGCAGACCUUGAAGGUAACUUUGGUCUCAACAAAUAACUUCCAGGACUUUGGAUGACUGAGGAGGGUAGACCUGCCCGACAUCGUCGAGAAUAGCUGUUGGCUGGUAGCAUUCCGUUCUCAUAAUGGCAUCCCCGGUGAGGAGAGCUUUAGAUAUAAGCUCGCUGGUUAUAGUCCAAUCGAUUAUGAUGGAACAGUAGAGCACACGAGCGAUGUUAAAUCUUCCAGCACUACUUGGGAGGGCUUGUAAGCAAGCUAAGUAAAUGGAACUUUUCCUCAACAGGACGAAACCAGAGACUGGCACCAGUUAAGGAUAGCGUGCGCAAAGUCAUCCGUACUCACGAGAGACAGGCACCGUCGCUAUCACGCUAUUAUCAUACUUCAGCUAUUAAAUUUUUAUUCUUAA